UACGUAGGUAUCAAGCGUUGUUCGGAUUCAUUGGGCGUAAAGGGUGCGUAGGCGGCGCGGUAAGUCGGGUGUGAAAUCUUGGAGCUUAACUCCGAAACUGCAUUCGAUACUGCCGUGCUUGAGGACUGGAGAGGAGACUGGAAUUUACGGUGUAGCGGUGAAAUGCGUAGAUAUCGUAAGGAAGACCAGUGGCGAAGGCGGGUCUCUGGACAGUUCCUGACGCUGAGGCACGAAGGCCAGGGGAGCAAACGGG
rnacentral:rRNA from 1 species